ensembl:processed_transcript Gm14005 predicted gene 14005
GUCAGCACGAGUCAUCUGGUUCCAGUGACAAUGAAGACUGAGGUGUCUGCUUUGCAGUUUUUUCUUUUCUUUUCUUGUCUUUUUUUUUUUUUUCCUAAUCAUGUGGACAUCUCUGAGAAUGAGGGGACUGGGUGACUUUGCAGUGUCUGCUUUCUAAGUUUCAAAGUGACUUUCCAGGCAAGCUGCGCAUAUCUUGGGAUCUUCACAGCACAGUGGCUGGGAAGGCAGGCGGACCCGUCUAUCAGCUUCUCCCUGGUGGGAUUCUUGCGGGGGCAGGGAUCGAGUCAAACCUUGGAAAUGACGUCAUUCUGAACUCAUCUGCCUUUAUCCAGAAGACUACCAAAGCAAACCAGAGGACCAGAGAACAGCAGCUGCUCUGGACAAAGAGGGGAGGACACCCACACCCACAUACCAAGUUCUGGUUGACUUCUACAGCAGAAGAAGCAGGAGACACAAGAAGUCUCCUCAGAAGAACAUUGACCAGCACGCCUGCAUCCUUUCUGUUCUGACACACUUGUUACCUGGAUGACUUCUUUCUCAUCACCCACGUGCCAAGAGUGCCAUGUCUCAUCUGGACCAGAGACUCUGAGGAUCACACCAACAGAGACACAAAUGACACUUAAAGAAAGCCACAUCAGCUUUUACAACUUACCCCCCAAUACCAAAUGUCAUCAACUCAAUUUAAAUCAUUGGAUGGUUCUGUUCUCAGGGCCAGAGAGUUUCACUAAACUUCGUCGAACCCUUCGGUAUAACUGUCAACUGUGCAGAGUGUGCUUGGUGUCUGGAUUCUCAGCCUUCAGUGUAAUCAUGUUUACAUCCCCAGGUGUCAGAAAAUUCCCCCUGA